GACGAACGCUGGCGGCGUGCCUAAUACAUGCAAGUCGAGCGGACGAUUCGAAAGCUUGCUUUUGAAUCGUUAGCGGCGGACGGGUGAGUAACACGUGGGCAACCUGCCCUGUAGACGGGGAUAACACCGAGAAAUCGGUGCUAAUACCGGAUAACACGAAAUGUCGCAUGACGUUUCGUUGAAAGGCGGCGCAAGCUGCCGCUACAGGAUGGGCCCGCGGCGCAUUAGCUAGUUGGUGAGGUAACGGCUCACCAAGGCGACGAUGCGUAGCCGACCUGAGAGGGUGAUCGGCCACACUGGGACUGAGACACGGCCCAGACUCCUACGGGAGGCAGCAGUAGGGAAUCUUCCGCAAUGGACGAAAGUCUGACGGGGCAACGCCGCGUGAGCGAAGAAGGCCUUCGGGUCGUAAAGCUCUGUUGUUAGGGAAGAACAAGUAACGUAGUAACUGACGUUACUAUGACGGUACCUAACGAGAAAGCCACGGCUAACUACGUG
rnacentral:rRNA from 1 species